AUGCAGCCCUAAAACCGGCCUCGUUUCCAUGGAAAUGGGGCCGCGAACGGAGGACACAUCAGAGUAUCCUUCGCAGCCUUCAGUAUCCCAGCAUGCACCGCGCGGCGCCAGUCACAUGUUCGAAAACACGGAGCAAAAAGCCGGUCCUGAGAGCGGAGAAAAACAUCCUCCUGUAUGAGGACACGGCACACUGCAGGGGCCACAGAACUGUUGGCUGACAAGAUGCUUGUGAUUCAUAAAAUGGGUCAAAUGCAGAUGACAAAGUAAAGCCAACACUGAGCUGGAGUUGCUGACCCAGACUCCUGCCAACGAUUAGGUUUUCACUCUGCAGGACAGAACUUUGAAUCAAUCAGACGUAACAACCAACCUGCUCCUCCUCCUCCAGAAGACGAGAGACACAUCAGACUGAGUGGUCCAAGUCCACUGUCCAUGUCUCCACUGUCCAUGUCUCCAUGUCCAUGUCUCCACUGUCCAUGUCUCCACUGUCCAUGUCUCCACUGU